rnacentral:rRNA from 1 species
AUUGAACGCUGGCGGCAUGCUUUACACAUGCAAGUCGAACGGUAACAGGCCGCAAGGUGCUGACGAGUGGCGAACGGGUGAGUAAUGCAUCGGAACGUGCCCAGUCGUGGGGGCUAACUACUCGAAAGAGUAGCUAAUACCGCAUACGAUCUAUGGAUGAAAGCGGGGGACCGUAAGGCCUCGCGCGUUUUGAUCGGCCGAUGUCAGAUUAGGUAGUUGGUGGGGUAAAGGCUCACCAAGCCAACCAUCCGUAGCUGGUCUGAGAGGACGACCAGCCACACUGGGACUGAGACACGGCCCAGACUCCGAAGGGAGGCAGCAGUGGGGAAUUUUAGACAAUGGGGGAAAGCCUGAUCCAGCAAUGCCGCGUGGAGGAAGAAGGCCUUCGGGUUGUAAACUGCUUUUGUACGGAACGAAACGGCUCUGGUUAAUACCCGGGGCUAAUGACGGUACCGGAAGAAUAAGCACCGGCUAACUACGUG